rnacentral:rRNA from 1 species
GACAGAGGGUGCAAACGUUGCUCGGAAUCACUGGGCGUAAAGGGCGUGUAGGCGGGAAGGAAAGUCGGGCGUGAAACUCCCUGGGCUCAACCCAGGAACUGCACUCGAAACUUCUUUUCUUGAGUGCCGGAGAGGAAAGCGGAAUUCCUGGUGUAGAGGUGAAAUUCGUAGAUAUCAGGAGGAACACCAGUGGCGAAGGCGGCUUUCUGGACGGA